rnacentral:rRNA from 1 species
AACGAACGCUGGCGGCAUGCCUAACACAUGCAAGUCGAACGAGACCUUCGGGUCUAGUGGCGCACGGGUGCGUAACGCGUGGGAACCUGCCCUUAGGUUCGGAAUAACUCCCCGAAAGGGGUGCCAAUACCGGAUAAUGUCUUCGGACCAAAGAUUUAUCGCCUUUGGAUGGGCCCGCGUUGGAUUAGCUAGUUGGUAGGGUAAAAGCCUACCAAGGCGACGAUCCAUAGCUGGUCUGAGAGGAUGAUCAGCCACACUGGGACUGAGACACGGCCCAGACUCCUACGGGAGGCAGCAGUGGGGAAUAUUGGACAAUGGGCGAAAGCCUGAUCCAGCAAUGCCGCGUGAGUGAUGAAGGCCUUAGGGUUGUAAAGCUCUUUUACCCGGGAUGAUAAUGACAGUACCGGGAGAAUAAGCUCCGGCUAACUCCGUG